GUGCUCGCUUCGGCAGCACAUAUACUAAAAUUGGAACGAUACAGAGAAGAUUAGCAUGGCCCCUGCGCUGCUCCUAAUUUUAUAAAACACAUUUCAGUAACUU